AGAGUUUGAUCAUGGCUCAGAACGAACGCUGGCGGCGUGGAUAAGACAUGCAAGUCGAACGCUGAUCACAGGGUAGCAAUAUUCUGUGGUCGGAGUGGCGCAAGGGUGCGUAACACGUGGGUAAUCUGCCAUAAAGUUUGGGAUAACUCGCUGAAAGGCGAGCUAAUACCGGAUGUGAUCAUUGGAAGGCAUUUUCUGAUGAUUAAAGCUGGGGACCGUAAGGCCUGGCGCUUUUUGAUGAACCCGCGGCCUAUCAGCUAGUUGGUGAGGUAACGGCCCACCAAGGCUAAGACGGGUAGCUGGUCUGAGAGGACGACCAGCCACACUGGAACUGAGACACGGUCCAGACACCUACGGGUGGCAGCAGUCGAGAAUUUUUCACAAUGGGCGAAAGCCUGAUGGAGCGACGCCGCGUGGGGGAUGAAUGGCUUCGGCCCGUAAACCCCUGUCAUUUGCGAACAAACGUUAUUAUUUAAAAGAUGAUGACCUGAUUGUAGCGAAAGAGGAAGGGACGGCUAACUCUGUGCCAGCAGCCGCGGUAAUACAGAGGUCCCGAGCGUUGUUCGGAUUCACUGGGCGUAAAGGGUGCGUAGGUGGCGGGGUAAGUCUGAUGUGAAAUCUCCAAGCUUAACUUGGAAAUGGCAUUGGAAACUACUCUGCUUGAGGGUUGGAGGGGGGACUGGAAUGCUUGGUGUAGCAGUGAAAUGCGUAGAUAUCAAGCGGAACACCAGUGGCGAAGGCGAGUCCCUGGACAACUCCUGACACUGAGGCACGAAAGCUAGGGGAGCAAACAGGAUUAGAUACCCUAGUAGUCC
rnacentral:rRNA from 1 species